rnacentral:rRNA from 1 species
UACGAAGGGGGCUAGCGUUGCUCGGAAUCACUGGGCGUAAAGGGUGCGUAGGCGGGUCUUUAAGUCAGGGGUGAAAUCCCGGAGCUCAACUCCGGAACUGCCUUUGAAACUGCAGUGCUAGAAUCCUGGAGAGGCGAGUGGAAUUCCGAGUGUAGAGGUGAAAUUCGUAGAUAUUCGGAAGAACACCAGUGGCGAAGGCGACUCGCUGGACAGGUAUUGACGCUGAGGUGCGAAAGCGUGGGGAGCAAACAGG